UACAGAGGUCCCAAGCGUUGUUCGGAUUCAUUGGGCGUAAAGAGUGCGUAGGCGGUUCUUGAAGUCCGCUGUGAAAGCCCCGGGCUUAACCUGGGAAUGGCAGUGGAAACUGGGGGACUUGAAUUGAGCAGAGGGGGGUGGAAUGCCGCGUGUAGCAGUGAAAUGCGUAGAGAUGCGGCGGAACACCGAUGGCGAAGGCAGCCCCCUGGGCUUAAAUUGACGCUGAGGCACGAAAGCGUGGGGAGCAAACAGG
rnacentral:rRNA from 1 species